UCCCUCCCUGCGACAGACACCCAGAAACCCUGUAACAACACUUCCAGUGCCAGCCCUGAGGUCACCCAUUGUGAGACAGGGCGCAGAGCCCACAGCCGGUGCCCGGGUCUGGAGUGAAAACAGAAGAGCUCGGCUCUGCCAUCUGUGGUGUGGCCUUGGGGAGAUGACUUAAUUUCCCCGAGCCUCAGUUUUCCCAUCUAUAAAAUGGAGGAAACUGUACUUUGCUGGGGUGGUGAUGCAGAUUAGAAGAUGUCUGUGAGCCAACUGGCACAGAGAAAGUUCUCUGGAGAUGCUGGGUCCCGGCUCCCCGGAGCCAGGGUGCCUCCUCAGACGCUUCUGUUUCUCCUGGGAAAUGUGGGAUUCCUUCUUCUGGGCCUCAGAGGGGAGAAGGGACCUCCUGCCGGCCUAGUGCGCCUGUGUGCGUGCUCACCACUGCCAGAGGACUCCGUGUGAGAGGUGGAAACCACAUUUGCAUAGGCCUAGAAAAAGAGGGGCAACAGAUGAAGAAACCAAGGCUCAGAGAGGUUAAGUGACUUGUUCGAGAUCACACAGCUGUCAAGACGCAGCAUCAGGACUCAAGUCGCACAUUAUGCUUUCCCGUAGGACUGUCUUCCUUGACGCCCCUUGAUUCUCAGAGAGAUAGACAGAAGAGCACAAGCAG